rnacentral:rRNA from 1 species
UGCGAGUCGACACAGCAAUGUGUGGCAUACGGCUCAGUAACACGUAGUCAACAUGCCCAGGGGACGUGGAUAACCUCGGGAAACUGAGGAUAAACCGCGAUAGGUCACUACUUCUGGAAUGGGUAAUGACCCAAACCUAUAUGGCCCCUGGAUUGGACUGCGGCCGAUCAGGCUGUUGGUGAGGUAAUGGCCCACCAAACCUGUAACCGGUACGGGCUCUGAGAGGAGGAGCCCGGAGAUGGGCACUGAGACAAGGGCCCAGGCCCUAUGGGGUGCAGCAGGCGCGAAACCUCUGCAAUAGGCGAAGGCUUGACAGGGUUACUCUGAGUGAUUUCCGUUAAGGAGAUCUUUUGGCACCUCUAAAAAUGGUGCAGAAUAAGGGGUGGGCAAGUCUGGUGUCAGCCGCCGCGGUAAUACCAGCACCCCGAGUGGUCGGGACGUUUAUUGGGCCUAAAGCAUCCGUAGCCGGUUCUACAAGUCUUCCGUUAAAUCCACCUGCUUAACAGAUGGGCUGCGGAAGAUACUAUGGAGCUAGGAGGCGGGAGAGGCAAGCGGUACUCGAUGGGUAGGGGUAAAAUCCGUUGAUCCAUUGAAGACCACCAGUGGCGAAGGCGGCUUGCCAGAACGCGCUCGACGGUGAGGGAUGAAAGCUGGGGGAGCAAACCGGAUUAGAUACCCGGGUAGUCCCAGCUGUAAACGAUGCAGACUCGGUGAUGAGUUGGCUUCAUGCCAACUCAGUGCCGCAGGGAUGCCGUUAAGUUUGCCGCCUGGGGAGUACGGUCGCAAGACUGAAACUUAAAGGAAUUGGCGGGGG